AUUCCAUUUUCCAUGGAAAAUAAUGGCCAAUCGAACAUGGCCUUGGUAACUUUUUAAAGGAAUAAUAUUGGAUCCCACAAAAUUUGUGGUUAAUAAAUGGGUACUAAAUGUGAAUGUGUGGUAAUACUUAACACUUUGCAUUCUUUAUUGCCUCUGUACAUGAUUUGACAAAUUGACUUGAUUAAUAGAAUAUGGGCUUCAAGAAUUGGUUGAAUUCAAAUGGAAAGAUUUAGAAGACGGCCUUCAGGGAAUCUGUGUAGCAAACUCCUGGUUUGAACUACUAUCUGUUCUUCACAUGAUGGCUAUGUUAACAUUGACUGAGGCAAACAUUAAGUUGAUUCCUAAUGAUAAUAGCUUGUCUGAGAGGGUCGUAUCUGCAGAUUGCAUGAGAGAUGCUGUCGAUUUAUUGUUGAAAGCAGGAGGAUAUAUUGAUUUUUGUCUGAACAAUGUUCUUCCUCGGUUACCACCUGAUAUGAAGAGCAAGUUGCCUACAAAUUUGCACGAGAGUGUCCUAGAGGCAAU